ACGCUCGACACCUACGGGAGGUAGCAGUAGGGAAUCUUCCACAAUGGGCGCAAGCCUGAUGGAGCAACACCGCGUGAGUGAAGAAGGGUUUCGGCUCGUAAAGCUCUGUUGUUGGAGAAGAACGUGCGUGAGAGUAACUGUUCACGCAGUGACGGUAUCCAACCAGAAAGUCACGGCUAACUACGUGCCAGCAGCCGACGGUAAUCUGAGGCGGGCGUGGCGAAGGC
rnacentral:rRNA from 1 species